GAUGUCUACUAGCCGUUGGGGCCUUUGAGGCUUUAGUGGCGCAGCUAACGCGAUAAGUAGACGCCUGGGGAGUACGGUCGCAAGACUAAAACUCAAAUGAAUUGACGGGGGCCCGCACAAGCGGUGGAGCAUGUGGUUUAAUUCGAUGCAACGCGAAGAACCUUACCUGGCCUUGACAUACUAGAAACUUUCCAGAGAUGGAUUGGUGCCUUCGGGAAUCUAGAUACAGGUGCUGCAUGGCUGUCGUCAG
rnacentral:rRNA from 1 species